CCGCCCUGACGUGGUCUUUGCGUCUUUCCGGCUUCGUUAUGGUAGUACGACUGAGCCGCGUCUUUCUGGAGAAGAAGCUACAAAAAGUUGCACCCAAGCUAGUUUGAUGCCUGCCCUGUCAAGUGUCCCUGAUGCUUGGUCCUGAAGGCAAUAGAGGAUUGGUGGCCCAGUUCACCCUGGUGCUGUCUGCUGAGAUGUUCAGAAUUUCCAAAAUUGAAGAUGGGCAUCAGGUGAGAAAGAUUCUUCCUGAGCUAACAUCUGUUAUCGUCCUCUUUUUUUUUUUGUCUUGAGGAAGAUUAGCCCUGAGCUAACAUCUGUGCCAGUCUUUGUCUAUUUUGUUUGUGGGAUGCUUCCACAGUGUGGCUGAUGAGUGGAGCAGGUCUGGCACCUGGGAUCCGAACCCGCGAAUCUGGGCUGCCAAAGUGUGUGCGGAACUUCAACUACUUGGCCACAGGGCCAGCCCCCCUUUUAAUUUUAAUGUAAGUUGAAAUACAGAUACUCGAUUCAGUUAUUGGAAAACUCUUAAAUGUGUCUGGAAUAACUCGGUAUGCAAAUAUAUUUUUUCAAUAGUGAAUUUUAUUAAAUCUAAAUGUAGAUCAAGAAUUCCUGAUGAAAAUUUAGCAUCUGAAUUGAGACGCUCUUAAGUGUAAUAUACACGGCAGAUAUUGAAGACUUAGUACAAAAAAAAGGCUCAGGCAUUUCCUCAUCUAUGAAAUGUGAUUGACAGCACCUGCACUGUGAUGAUCCUACAAGCAAUCUAUUUGAAGGAGCAUUGUCAAUUGCAAAUUUUACAUCAUUUUGUUACUGGAGCAUUUACAAAGGCUACUAAUUAAUGGUAGGGUGGAAGAGAGGAGGAGUACUAGAAAAGAGUUCCUGCGUCACAAAGUAGAAACUACGCUGGUUCUCUGAGGAGCCGGACAGUGGUGUGGUAACGACGAGGGACCACGGGGCACUACAGGAUCUGCUUCUGAGCCCCGCUGUCUGAUCUCUUCUUCCUGUCUUACUUUCCUCCAGUCCCACUGCCUCUUUACUGUCUCUAGAUCACACCAGUCAUGCUUGCUGUGAUCUUCUCCCAGGUACCAGCAUGCCUCACUCCCUUAUUUCCUUCAGAUCUCUGCUCAAAUAUGACUUUUAUCACAGAAGCUUUCCUCUGGGUCCUACAUAAAAUGCCCCACCACUUUCACCCUACAUCAAUCUUCAUCCCUUUAGUCUGCUUUAUUUCACUUCACUACCACAUGACAUAUUCAUUGUUAUUUUCUUCCCAUUAAAACAAGUUCCAUGAGAGCAUGAACUUUGUCUCUUAUUUAUUGCUUCAGCCCUAGAAGCUGUAGUAUAUAGAUGUAAACGAGUGAAUAGAUUGGGCUGGGAGCAGAGUAGCUGGGUUCCAGUCCAUCCUAACUAUGUUAACAUGGACAAGUCUGUCAAUUCUUGCAUUUCACUUUUCUCAUUUGUAAGUAAGAGAUGAUACCAGUUUUAUUUUUCACUCAGAGUAGUUGUGAAGAUUAAUGGAAGAAGGAGGAAACUUAUUUAUGAGCAUCUGCUACUGGGAAUGCAUUGCUGCAAGUAAUUUGCAUAUAUUAUCUAAACCCCAUAUCAGCCUGAUAAAAUGGAUAUUAGUAUUCCCAUUUUACAAAUUAAGAAACCGAGGCUCAAAGAGUUUGUGACUUGUAAAACCAAAGUGAUGAAAGUGUGUGAAAUAAAUAUUAGAGAUAUAAAACUCUUUGCAAUAAAGAAUGAAAA